AGGCAGCAGUGAGGAAUUUUGCGCAAUGGGGGAAACCCUGACGCAGCAACGCCGCGUGAGUGAUGAAGGCCUUCGGGUCGUAAAGCUCUGUCAAGUGGGAAGAACCUGCCCUGUGCUAAUAUCACCGGGCAUUGACGGUACCACUGAAGGAAGCACCGGCUAACUCCGUGCCAGCAGCCGCGGUAACACGGGGGGUGCAAGCGUUAUUCGGAAUCACUGGGCGUAAAGAGCGCGUAGGCGGUCUCUUAAGUCAGAUGUGAAAGCCCGGGGCUCAACCCCGGAAGUGCAUUUGAAACGAAGGGACUUGAGUAUGGGAGAGGGAAGUGGAAUUCCUGGUGUAGCGGUGAAAUGCGUAGAUAUCAGGAGGAACACCGGUGGCGAUGGCGACUUCCUGGACCAAUACUGACGCUGAGGCGCGAAGGCGUGGGGAGCAAACAGGAUUAGAUACCCUGGUAGUCCACGCAGUAAACGUUGAACACUAGGUGUAGCGGGUAUUGACCCCUGCUGUGCCGCAGCUAACGCAUUAAGUGUUCCGCCUGGGGAGUACGGCCGCAAGGCUAAAACUCAAAGGAAUUGACGG
rnacentral:rRNA from 1 species